rnacentral:rRNA from 1 species
UACGUAGGUGGCAAGCGUUGUCCGGAUUUAUUGGGCGUAAAGCGAGCGCAGGCGGUUCCUUAAGUCUGAUGUGAAAGCCCACGGCUCAACCGUGGAAGGUCAUUGGAAACUGGGGAACUUGAGUGCAGAAGAGGAGAGUGGAAUUCCAUGUGUAGCGGUGAAAUGCGUAGAUAUAUGGAGGAACACCAGUGGCGAAGGCGACUUUCUGGUCUGUUAUUGACGCUGAGGCUCGAAAGACGUGGGGAGGCAAACAAGGAGUUAGAUA